CCUACGGGUGGCAGCAGUGGGGAAUAUUGGGCAAUGGGCGCAAGCCUGACCCAGCAACGCCGCGUGAAGGAAGAAGGCCCUCGGGUUGUAAAAUUCUUUUAACAGGGACGAAGAAAGUGACGGUACCUGUUGAAUAAGGCACGGUUAACUACGUGGCAGCAGCAGCGGUAAUACGGAGGUGGCAAGCGUUAUCCGGCUUUACUGGGUGUAAAGGGCGUGUAGGUGGGAGAGCAAGUCCGACGUGAAAUUACAGGGCUCAACCCUGGAACUGCGUUGGAAACUGUUCUUCUUGAGUGAUGGAGAGGCAGGCGGAAUUCCGUGUGUAGCGGUGAAAUGCGUAGAUAUACGGAGGAACACCAGUGGCGAAGGCGGCCUGCUGGACAUUAACUGACGCUGAGGCGCGAAAGCGUGGGGAGCAAACAGGAUUAGAUACCCCAGUAGUC
rnacentral:rRNA from 1 species